CAGCAGCCACGGGAAUACGUAGGGUGCAAGCGUUAAUCGGAAUUACUGGGCGUAAAGCGUGCGCAGGCGGUUAUAUAAGACAGAUGUGAAAUCCCCGGGCUCAACCUUGGAACUGCAUUUGUGACUGUAUAGCUAGAGUACGGCAGAGGGGGAUGGAAUUCCGCGUGUAGCAGUGAAAUGCGUAGAUAUGCGGAGGAACACCGAUGGCGAAGGCAAUCCCCUGGGCCUGUACUGACGCUCAUGCACGAAAGCGUGGGGAGCAAACAGGAUUAGAUACCCCGGUAGUCCCUGUCUCUUAUAC
rnacentral:rRNA from 1 species